CAAUUGGUUUUAUUGACGUUCGAGAAAAUUUGCGAAUUGCGUUUCCUGAGUUAAAGUGAAAAUUUCUAAUAAAAUUAGAGCAGAAUUUAGAGGAUAAUUUAGAUAUCAUUAAAGAUGUCUGUUAAUACAGCUCACGCCAAUAAUGGUGUUCUCAUUCACGCUGGAGAGUAUAUACUGCUGCACAGUGAUGGCGUUACUAUGGAUUUCUCGGGACAGGACAAUCCUGUGUUUAAAGGCUCAAAGCAAGGACGUAUUUACCUGACAUCGCAUCGCCUGAUUUUUAACAACAAAAAGCCGGCUGAUCAAUUGCAAUCCUUUAGUGCACCAUUUGUUGCGCUAUCAGAUGUUGAAUUGGAGCAGCCAGUUUUUGGUGCUAACUACAUCAAGGGCAAAGUGCGUGCACAACCGAAUGGCAAUUUCAUUGGUGAGGUAAAAUUCAAAUUACACUUUAAAUCUGGUGGAGCUAUCGAAUAUGGUCAGGCAUUGCUACGUGCUGCUAGUACAGCACAAAGUAAUUAUCAUCGUGGUGGCGCACCCAAUGAUGAUCCACCACCGUAUACACCGGCAGGUGCUUGGCAUGAAGCACCACCACCAGCUUACCAACCACCACCAGGUUACUAUGGUUGGUUGCCAACACAUGAAGCGUUUAGCGGCCCAGCAAAUGGCACGGUGUUCGUGAGCGAUAAUCCACCACCAUAUCCAGGCAUUGGUGGACCACCAACUUAUGCACCACAACAAUAUCCGCAACCCGGAUAUGCACCACAACAACCGUAUGGUGGUUAUAAUCCACAGCCCGGUUAUAACCCGCAAUCCGGUUAUAAUCCACAACCCGGUUAUAAUCCGCAACAAGCUUAUAAUCCGCAACCCGGUUAUAAUCCUCAACAACCGCAAGGUGGUAGCAAUGAUGCACCUGCCUGGAAUGGUUUUUCUGCACCACCAACUGCGGAUGCACAACAGCAACCGUCACCUGGAAAUCAGCCACCACCGUAUGCAGCCGGUGGUUAUGGGCAGCCAGGCGCUUAUCAACCGGGUGCACCCGGUGGCUACAAUCCAUCUUAUAAUCCAGGUUACAAUCCUGGCUACCAACCAGGCCAUUAUCCACCUCCUGGCGGCGCACCAGGUGGUGCUGCAGCUGGCGCAAUGGGUUUCAGCAUGCCACCAGCAAUGUUUUAAAGUGUGCUCCACAAGUAUGCAACAGCAAAAAUAAUAAAUAAAAUUCAGUGAAUAUUACACCGUCGAAAAAAAGCAUAUACAUAUAUAUGUAUGUACGUCACAAAAAAUCAAAUCCCUAACUCAGAUUCAAAGGAAGCCGAGGCCAUGGCUAGUGCUCAAAAUACGACAUACAAUCAAUAUUCUAAUAAUGCUGCGCCAAGCGACUUGCCACCAGCAUAUGAUGCUUUACAACCCAACUAUGGCAGCGCAAAUAAGAAGAAUCAAUAAACGCUCUAGUAUGCUUUUUUCGAAAUUUGAUUUUAUUAAAAUAUCUAAACAACACACAAAAAUGUGUCACAACUUGCAAGUGUAUGGACGCUAAAAUGGUAUGAAUAUUCAAAAAAAUUCUUAUGAGAUGCAGUUGCCUGGCUAGCGACAUAACACAAUGCAUAUUGCAAUUUGCAUAUCGAAUGCAUUCCGCUGAGCUCUACAAUAACGUAAUACUUAAUUAAAAUAACCACCACAACCCCCUAUAUUAUUCAUAUAUAUGUGUUAAACAAAUAUUAUGAUGUAAAAGAUAUUAUACAUAUAUAUAUAAACACAUACCUAUUUAAUUCAUAUAUUGUCUUACGUUUUUAUAAAGUAGUCUUGGCAUACGAGAAAUAGUAAAAUCUAUAAAAAUGAUAGUAAAUACGUACAUACAUACAAUAGUGUGUACUCUAAAGGCUUAAAAAAUAGUAUAUCGGCUUAGAAACAACAAAACAAUCUGUAGCGAAUUGUAAAAAUUCCAAAUAAUAUUUUAAAUUUGGCCAGUAUUCUUUUGAAAACUAUGCAGUAUGUCAAAAAAAAAAAAAA